rnacentral:rRNA from 1 species
UCGGGAAUUUUGGGCAAUGGGCGAAAGCCUGACCCAGCAACGCCGCGUGAAGGAUGAAGUAUUUCGGUAUGUAAACUUCGAAAGAAUAGGAAGAAUAAAUGACGGUACUAUUUAUAAGGUCCGGCUAACUACGUGCCAGCAGCCGCGGUAAUACGUAGGGACCAAGCGUUGUUCGGAUUUACUGGGCGUAAAGGGCGCGUAGGCGGCGUGGUAAGUCAUCUGUGAAAUCUCCGAGCUUAACUCGGAACGGUCAGAUGAUACUGCUGUGCUAGAGUACAGAAAGGGCAAUCGGAAUUCUUGGUGUAGCGGUGAAAUGCGUAGAUAUCAAGAGGAACACCUGAGGCGAAGGCGGGUUGCUAGGCUGAUACUGACGCUGAGGCGCGAAAGCUAGGGUAGCAAACGGGAUUAGAUACCCCUGUAGUCCCUGAGCGGGCUGGCAAGGCGCAU